rnacentral:rRNA from 1 species
UUUGUUUGGAGAGUUUGAUCCUGGCUCAGGACGAACGCUGGCGGCGUGCUUAACACAUGCAAGUCGAACGGGCUUUCCUGCUGGUUUUUGCUGGUGGGUUGGUUAGUGGCGAACGGGUGAGUAACACGUGAGUAACCUGCCCUCUUCUCCUGGAUAACUGCUUGAAAGGGUGGCUAAUACGGGGUGGUCUGGCCUGCCUGCAUGGGUG